rnacentral:rRNA from 1 species
UACGUAGGCAGCGAGCGUUGUUCGGAGUUACUGGGCGUAAAGAGUGCGUAGGCGGUUUCUAUGUUUGGUGUGAAAUCUCCCGCUUAACUGGGAGGGUGCGCCGAAAACUGGAAGGCUUGAGUAUGGGAGAGGUAAGCGGGAAUUCCUGGUGUAGCGGUGAAAUGCGUAGAUAUCGGGAGGAACACCUGAGGCGAGGGCGGGCUACUGGGCCGAUACGUGACGCUGAUGCGCGAAAGCCAGGGGAGCGAACGGG